rnacentral:tRNA from 1 species
GCCCGGGUGGUGAAAUUGGUAGACGCACCAGACUCAAAAUCUGGCGGGGGCAACCCCGUGCCGGUUCGAUUCCGGCUCCGGGUACCA